UACAGAGGUCUCAAGCGUUGUUCGGAUUCAUUGGGCGUAAAGGGUGCGUAGGUGGCGGGGUAAGUCUGGUGUGAAAUCUCGGGGCUCAACCCCGAAACUGCACUGGAUACUGCCUUGCUCGAGUACUGGAGAGGAGAUUGGAAUUUACGGUGUAGCAGUGAAAUGCGUAGAUAUCGUAAGGAAGACCAGUGGCGAAGGCGAAUCUCUGGACAGUUACUGACACUGAGGCACGAAGGCCAGGGGAGCAAACGGG
rnacentral:rRNA from 2 species